GGAAUAUUGGGCAAUGGGCGCAAGCCUGACCCAGCGACGCCGCGUGAGGGAUGAAGGCCUUCGGGUUGUAAACCUCUUUCAGUAGGGAAGAAGCGAAAGUGACGGUACCUAAAGAAGAAGCACCGGCUAACUAUGUGCCAGCAGCCGCGGUAAUACAUAGGGUGCAAGCGUUGUCCGGAAUUAUUGGGCGUAAAGAGCUCGUAGGUCGUUUGCCGCGUCGAUUGUGAAAAUCUGAGGCUCAACCUCAGACCUGCAGUCGAUACGGGCAAACUAGAGUGUGGUAGGGGAGACUGGAAUUCCUGGUGUAGCGGUGGAAUGCGCAGAUAUCAGGAGGAACACCAAUGGCGAAGGCAGGUCUCUGGGCCAUAACUGACACUGAGGAGCGAAGGCGCGGGGAGCGAACAGGAUUAGAUACCCUGGUAGUCCGCGCCGUAAACGAUGGGCACUAGCUGUGAGAGCCUUCCUCGGUUCUCGCGACGCAGCAAACGCAUUAAGUGCCCCGCCUGGGGAGUACGAUCGCAAGAUUAAAACUCAAAGGAAUUGACGG
rnacentral:rRNA from 1 species